rnacentral:pre_miRNA from 1 species
UUGGCUGGGCCAGAGGCUGCAACACAGGACAUGGGUCCUGCCUCUUUCUACCACUCGUGUCUUGUGUUGCAGCCAGUGGAACUGC